UCUCGCAUGCGCGCUCUUGAUGCUCACUCUAGAUUCCGGGAGAUUUUAUCUAAUUUGCGGGCGUCAGGAUGCCGCUAUCAAUAUGCGGGAGACUCCCGGAACUUCCGGGAGACUUGGGAUGUCUGAGAUUGAUAGGCAUAGAUAGAAGCUAACUUAUGAUUUGUUAUGCAAGACAGAAAAUGUAACGGUUAACAUUACUAGCCUAAGGUGUAUACAUUCUAUGCACUGUGAUUUAGCUAGCUAGCUGCUAUUGUUGCAUCAUGGACAACACUUAGAGCUAACAUUAGCUUUUUUUUUUUAGAUAGGAUGUAAUGUGGUAACGUUAGGCUCCUAUGUGCUGGGGAGUAUUAGAGUGGACGUGUAGGAAUUGAAGACACAAGUACUGUGCUUAAUUUCAUGGAAAUGGUAUUGGAAAGAGGCAACACUCGAAAGCUACAUCAAGGACACCGGAGGAUGGACCAGAAGACCUGAGACCAAGACGACCCAAGCCCAACCCAUAGUAUGCUUCACUGACAAAUGUUGAUGCUUCAUCAUCACAUAGACCAAAGGUUUCAGAGAAGGCUGGUAGAGCUCUCUAUGAGUGUGAGCUGUGGGAGAUAACCAAGAACUGACAACCACCUACAGAAGAGGUGGCGAAAAUGGCUCUCCAAGAGGAGGUUGUGAGUCUGAAGGCUUUUAAUGAAAUAGCAGCUUCUUGGUUGUACAAGUUUAGUAAACAUUUGAGGAUGAAACUAACUUUUCCUUUCAGUGUGUAUCUGUGUGCUUCUCUCUUCUGUGUAUAUGAUAUAUUAGUUGUGUUGUCUCAUUUAAAAGUGUUAGGCUGUCUGUG